GAUGAAGAACGCAGCGAAAUGCGAUACGUAAUGUGAAUUGCAGAAUUCAGUGAAUCAUCGAAUCUUUGAACGCACAUUGCGCCCUCUGGUAUUCCGGGGGGCAUGCCUGUUCGAGCGUCAUUGCUGCCCUCAAGCCCGGCUUGUGUGUUGGGUCUCGUCCCCCUUCCCGGGGGGACGGGCCCGAAAGGCAGCGGCGGCACCGUGUCCGGUCCUCGAGCGUAUGGGGCUUUGUCACCCGCUCUGUAGGCCCGGCCGGCGCUUGCCGAUCAACCAAAACUUUUUUCCAGGUUGACCUCGGAUCAGGUAGGGAUACCCGCUGAACUUAAGCAUAUCAAUAAGCGGAGGA
rnacentral:misc_RNA from 1 species